rnacentral:misc_RNA from 1 species
UUGCAACCAAUAAUUUCCUUACAGGACACAACAAUAAAUGAUUUGAUUAAUUUCCUUAUAGAAAUAAAUAUUGAUGAUUAAAUACAGCUACACUCUGGUUAGGAACUUCUGUUCCUUCUUGAAUAUUUUGCCUACAACCCUAAUACCAUACAUCCCACUACCCAGUUUGAACAUUCUCCUCCCUUCCUCUUUGCUGCCUAGCCAGAGUUAAAAUGAUUCAGCUUCAAUGUGAUUCUGCAGAGUGAUAAUGAGACCAGUAUUCCUUUACAAGCUGCCCAAACAGUGAACUUUCUCUCUUCAUUAACUUCAUUGGCUCGUCAUACUCUACUAGUUUUCCAUCACUGAUGGCUAGAACCAUGGUGCAAUCCAUCACGGUUGGUAUCCUGUGAGCUACUGUGAUCACAGUGCAAUCUGCAAAUUCAGUCCGAAUAGUUUUUUGCAAGAUCAAGUCGGUUGCAUUGUCAAUUGAUGCAGUUGCUUCAUCGAGCACCAAUAUUCGACUUCUCCUCAAAAGUGCACGCCCCAAGCAAAACAAUUGUCUCUGCCCCAUGCUCCAAUUUGAUCCAUCUUCCACAACCAAGGAGUCUAGUCCCUGUUCUUUCUCCUGGACAGCUUCUCGAAGCUGGCACUUUCCAAGAACCUCCCAUAUCUCCUGAUCGCUAUGUUGAGUCAAGGGGUCCAAAUUGUAUCUCACAGUUCCAUUAAAAAGAGUAGGAUCUUGAGGUAUUAUUCCAAAUCGCGAUCUGAGAUCAUGAAGGCCAAUUUUUGAGAUGUCAACGCCAUCAACAAUAAUCUUUCCUCCUGCUGGCUCCACAAGACGAAAUAGAGCUCCGAUAAGAGUAGUCUUUCCACUGCCUGUACGGCCAACAAUACCAAUCUUGUGCCCUCCUACAAAUGUGCAACUGAUCCCUCGAAGAACUAGUGGUGCAUCAGGCCUAUAUCUGAUCUGCAAAUCACAGAUAUCCACUCUACCUAUUGCUGGCCAAUUGGGUGGAGGACGGUUAUCUUCUAUCACCUCAGGUGCUUCACUUGGUACGUGCAUGUAUUGAUUAAGCCUUUCAACAGAAAUGAUGUAAUUCGCUAUGGUGCAUUGGUUUUGAAUUGAAAAAACCAGGGACAUGUUUAAUGAAAGCCCAUAAGAAAGUGCCAU